AAGGGCAUCCAGUCAUAGAAACCAUACCAAGUCAGACUGGAAUCUCGUGCAGUCCCUCAGCUUACCAGCUCUGGUCAAACCGUCCAACCCAUGGCAGCAUGAAAACAGACAUUAAAAUGAUGGUGAUGAUUCCUUCCAUAUAUAAAGAAAAGAAAGAAUACAUGCACUAGAGCAAGUCAGGGACCUCCAUGGAUGUACACACCUGCUGUUAAUUAACAAAACGAAGAAAAAAAUGAAGAAAUAAACAAGCAGGUAUGGCAAAGUGUGAGUCAUGGCGAACAAUUUACAUCAAGACUUGACACCGAUGGAUUUCUUUUUUUUUGUGGGAUGUUUAAGAUGUGUAUAAACAAUAUGAUUGUAAUAUAGAAAUUUCCUGGUUUCAGAAUAUUUAAAUAUUUGCCUCUAUAAAAUGAGACAGCUUACAGAAUCCAAGUCAAGACACAUCUUCCAUUUCCAUUUCAUUAUACAGCUUGUAUGUAUAGUGAGAAAUUGAGUUUUAUAGGAAUUUGGCAUUGGUUCCAGUUUUGCGUGACCUUUAAACAGUUUCACUUUCCAUCCAAGCAAAUCUUCCUAUAAUUCUUCCCAUUCAUCUUGUCAAUUACAUAAAACAGUGGCACAUCACUUCCACUUUUUAAACUUUCGUUUUAUCCAGUAACAUUUCAUGGGUCAUUGGCUCGCAACUAAAC